GCAAAGCAAAAGGAAACUUUAAUAAAACGAGUGACAUUUAUUUACAUUUUUGCAACUCUCUUUAAUAGAAUACAGUAAUUCAACAGAAGACAGCUGGACUCUCAUUUCUUUUGCAUUCAGUCCCUUGCAGUAUAGUGUCAUGAAACUUCUAGAAAAUUCUAGCACACAUUUGUGAGAUAAGGAGGAUGAAAUAGGCAAAGAAUAUCUGAGUAUUAUUGUGAGAUAGUCUUGGCUUUAUGGGGCCCUGGAACCACAUUCUGAGACUAGUCCUGACUCAGGGUCCUCCUCUAGCAGCUCAAGAGCCCAAGGCCAGGGAAGCCAGGAAGGGAAGCACCCUAGGUGACUUCUACUCCAAGAGGAAACUUCCACAGAAAUAGAUAGGAAAGCCUUCUAAUUUGUUUUUCUUUUACAUUUACAACAGCUGGACUGACGUGAGACAGAAAAAUUGGGAAAGAGUCAGUGUUUCUCCAUCAGAGACAAGAUUUUUAAAUUCUCUCCAGGCUGAGGGAGAGAAGAGUGUGCAAGAGGAGAUGAACAGAAAGAGGUUCCAGCAGAGUCUGUGGGAAGAGCCCAGGCCCCGUGGCCCCCCUCUUCCCCCUCAUUAGGCUUCCCUCUAAAGGAGGUGGCUGAACCCCAGGUAACAGAGGGGACCUGCCCCCUCCUGCGCAGGACCCUGGGGACCACAGGUGCUCAGAGGUCCUUGUCCUACCUGGCAUGUGGACACUCAAGGGAAGAGGUGGCCACACGGAGGUACAGGCAGAAGGACCCAAGAUUCCUCUGGGUUUUCUGUGGUCCCAGAGAGCAGCACCUUCCUGUGCCCGAGAAGGGCACAGAAGCCAGCAGAGGGGCAGGGAGGGAGAAACUGAGAGGGUCUCCUAGUUGGGACAAGGGAGUGUGGUAUGCAACCUAAGGCCAGAGACCAUCUCAGUCAAAACCAAAGUAGGGGCUUCCCUGAUGGUAAAUUUUAUGUUCUGUUUUUUACCACAAUUAAAAAUAAAAAUAAAGCAUAUAGGUGCCAAUCAAGGACUACAUGUGCUUCCCCCAUCCCUUCACACUUAGGCGCUACUCCAAGAAGAGGGGAGAAGAUGACAAUUCAUAAAACUGAGUUUAUCAGUUUUAUUUUCUAACAAUAGGCACAAUGGGACUUAAGUUACAGAAAAAGUAAGAAAGUUAUUGUGGCAAACACUGUUAGUUGUCUAUCUAAAACCUUCCCUGAUCCUCUGCCAUUUCUUCCUUAACUAACAGAACUCCAAUUUUAUUCAGAUAUCCACCCCUCCCCCGUGAGACUCAGGGUUAAGUUCUGAUUGGUCUAGGCUGGCCAUGGCAAUCCCACACUAAACCAGUGAUUGGUUUAGGUGUUGGGAUGUGACACAAUUCUAGCCAAUGAGAUUUAGGGGGAAAUCUGCCCAGGGGGCUUCUAAGAAUGAUUUGCAUUGACCUUAAAAAAUGACACAGGAAUAUUCAUUCUCUCUCCUCCUCCCCUCUUCUCUCUCUCUGCAUCUGGCUCUCUCUCUGCACAGGUGAGAAUGCCAGAGAAGAAAAUGGAAAGAAUGAAACAAUAAUCAAUGAUGAUUUCAUUGAACUGCUGAAUAAACCAAAGCCAGAACCACCAUAUUCUACUUCUUGUCAUGUGAGAUAACAAACUCCUGACUGUUUAAGUCCAUUGGAGCCUAAAUUAAGACAAGACCUACCCCAAUUUAUACAAUUUAACAUAAUUUAAACAAUU